UACGUAGGGUGCAAGCGUUAAUCGGAAUUACUGGGCGUAAAGCGUGCGCAGGCGGUUCGCUAAGACCGAUGUGAAAUCCCCGGGCUUAACCUGGGAACUGCAUUGGUGACUGGCAGGCUAGAGUAUGGCAGAGGGGGGUAGAAUUCCACGUGUAGCAGUGAAAUGCGUAGAGAUGUGGAGGAAUACCGAUGGCGAAGGCAGCCCCCUGGGCCAAUACUGACGCUCAUGCACGAAAGCGUGGGGAGCAAACAGG
rnacentral:rRNA from 1 species